rnacentral:rRNA from 1 species
UACGUAGGGUGCAAGCGUUGUCCGGAAUUAUUGGGCGUAAAGAGCUCGUAGGCGGUUUGUUGCGUCGGCUGUGAAAUCCCGCGGCUCAACCUCGGGUCUGCAGUCGAUACGAGCAAACUAGAGUGUUGCAGGGGAGACUGGAAUUCCUGGUGUAGCGGUGAAAUGCGCAGAUAUCAGGAGGAACACCGGUGGCGAAGGCGGGUCUCUGGGCUGACACUGACGCUCAUGCACGAAAGCGUGGGGAGCAAACAGG